AUGCGUAUGUUGAGAUGGAUGUGUGGCCACACGAGGAAGGAUCGAGUUCGGAAUGAUGAUAUACGAGAUAGAGUUGGGGUAGCAUCAAUUGAAGAGAAGCUUGUCCAACAUCGUCUGAGAUGGUUUGGGCAUAUUCAGCGCAGGCCUCCAGAAGCUUCGGUGCAUAGUGGACGGCUAAAGCAUGCGGAGAAUGUCAAGAGAGGGCGGGGUAGACCGAAUUUGACAUGGGAGGAGUCCGUUAAGAGAGACAUGAAGGAUUGGAGUAUCACCAAAGAGCUAGCUAUGGACAGGGGUGCGUGGAAGCUUGCUAUCCAUGUGCCAGAGCCAUGA
rnacentral:rRNA from 1 species